rnacentral:rRNA from 1 species
CCCGGGGUGAGCUGUGUGUCGAGCACCUUCCCCAUCUUCUCCCCCACCCCUUCUUCCUUCCAGGCGGCUGCAUGAGGGCGAGGUCGCCAGAUCCGACCCUCCCUGGCCGCCGGUGCCGCUCCUCCCCAUCCCGAGGCCACCGCCGAGCCGCCUCACCCCAGGCCCCUGCUGCGCCGCCCCUCUGCAAGCCGCUGCAGCCCCAGCCCGUGCGAGGCCCCCGCCGCGCCGCCCCUCUACAAGUCGCCCGUGCACCACCUCUCCCGAGGCCCCCACCAACAAAACCUCGUGCGCCUCCCACCGCUCCCCCCUGCCAGCUCCGUCCGACCCGGUGCUGCUCGGCCGCUCUCAGCCAUCGGCGGCGAGCCUUGGCAACCGGAUCCAGGGACACUUCCAGCGGGCCACCGGCCUCGAGCAACCACUUCCCGUCCCGCAGCUAGCGCCACCAACUAGCGAGGAUGCGGCAGCAACAGCUCCCUGCUCACGUGGCGGAUCUGUCCCCGUGCACUCCUCUGGUUCCACCCACUAGAGCAGAGCAUGGCAGCAAGCCUUCCCAUGGUUGCACCUCCGCCUCCCAUCAGAGUCUGCAUAUGCUUAUGCAGCUCACCUUCACUUUGUCUGCAGCUCUCUGUAGCCUCUCAUGGUGUUCACGUCUGUUGCUUCUAAUCUGCAUGGCGAUCGGCGUAGAAGCCACAGGCAUGGAAGAAGGCCAGCGCCGGCAGCUGCUCCUCACCCUGCUCCGCUCCCGUGCAGUGUGGAGCCCGUGUGUGUCUUGCCUGCCUGCCCCAUCCCAACCGAGAGACCCCCACUUUUCGGUGAGAUCCGGCGACGAGGACCUGCUCCACCGCGGCGCUCGCCUGCCCCUCUCCUCAACUCCUCGUCCUGGCCUCAUCUCCGGCCCGGUCAGGGCUCACCUCACCUACCCCCACGAGGUCUAGUCCCAGCUCCGCCAUAGCCCGCCUUGCCGGUCUAGAGAUUCUCCUCGGUGCACCGAGUUCCCCUGCUUCUUCUCCUCACCAACGAACAACCAACCAUGCCAACAUUUGAGGUUGUUGCAGUUCACUGUUUUGAUUUUUGGAGGAAAAUCGCUACACUGCAGUUUGCUAUUCCCAUCGAUGAGAUUUGCGUUUUCUUGUGUCUCUACUUAAGAGUAAUAAAAGUGCAAAUGCAGUCCGCUGUACUUUUGCUCUUGAGGUUCAUUUUACUCUCUUUUUUUGCAGAAAAGAUGGGUGAUGGAGUGCGCUUCACGAGGUUGGUCGUAUCCCUCCUGCCAGGUCGUGCAGUUCCUUGGCUCGCGACAUGCGGUCCGGUAGCAUGGGCUUUCUGUUCACGGGCACGCCGGUUUCCACCAUGCAGUUCGCUAGCUGGUUGGGCGUGGUUUCGGUAUCGCGGCAAUGCAGUUUGAUUGAGUGCUUCCGGUGUACACUUCAAAUUAGUUUUUUUGUAUGUUCAGAUUUACAUUGCAAUGUGGUGAAGUCCCGGCUGGGUGGUGCUACAAUGCAGUUUGUGUGUGCCGCUCUCAGUCUUUGCUGUUGUUUUCUUGGUGGUGCUCGAGUGCUAAUUCUGCUAUGUAUGGUUGUAUGCUGGUGGUUUGUGCUACAACGACGUGCAGUUCGCCAGGCUGUGUCGUGCGCUUCGCAGGGCCAUGGAGUGCGGUUCACCGGUCGGCGCCUUUGCGUUCGGUUUGCCAUUUGC